GACGAACGCUGGCGGCGUGCUUAACACAUGCAAGUCGAACGAUGAAGAAGAGAAACGCGAACUUCGGUUCAAAUUUCACUUCGGAUUAGUGGCAGACGGGUGAGUAACGCGUGAGCAACCUACCUCUUACAAAGGGAUAGCCUCGGGAAACCGUGAUUAAUACCAUAUGACACAUUCAUAAGGCAUCUUAAGAUUGUUAAAGCUACGGCGGUAAGAGAUGGGCUCGCGUCCCAUUAGCUAGUUGGUGAGGUAACGGCCCACCAAGGCGACGAUGGGUAACCGGGCUGAGAGGGUGAACAGUCACAUUGGAACUGAGACACGGUCCAGACUCCUACGGGAGGCAGCAGUGGGGAAUAUUGCACAAUGGAGGGAAGUCUGAUGCAGCGACGCCGCGUGAGCGAUGAAGGAAUUCGUUUCGUAAAGCUCUGUUCUAUGGGAAGAAAAGGACUGUACCAUAGGAGAAAGCCCCGGCUAAAUACGUG
rnacentral:rRNA from 1 species